rnacentral:rRNA from 1 species
UACGUAGGAGGCAAGCGUUGUCCGGAAUCACUGGGCGUAAAGCGCGUGUAGGCGGAUCGCUAAGUCUGUGGUGAAAAGCGCCUGGCUUAACCGGGCGAGGUCCAUGGAAACUAGCGGGCUGGAGUGUGGCAGAGGGGGGUGGAAUUCCACGUGUAGCAGUGAAAUGCGUAGAGAUGUGGAGGAACACCGAUGGCGAAGGCAGCCCCCUGGGCUAACACUGACGCUCAUGCACGAAAGCGUGGGGAGCAAACAGG